rnacentral:rRNA from 1 species
UACGUAGGUGGCAAGCGUUGUCCGGAAUUAUUGGGCGUAAAGAGCUCGUAGGCGGUCUGUCGCGUCGGCUGUGAAAACCCGGGGCUCAACCCCGGGCCUGCAGUCGAUACGGGCAGACUAGAGUGCGGUAGGGGAGACUGGAAUUCCUGGUGUAGCGGUGAAAUGCGCAGAUAUCAGGAGGAACACCGGUGGCGAAGGCGGGUCUCUGGGCCGUAACUGACGCUGAGGAGCGAAAGCGUGGGGAGCGAACAGG